UCCCGAGCGUUNUCCGGAUUUAUUGGGCGUAAAGCGAGCGCAGGCGGUUAGAUAAGUNUGAAGUUAAAGGCUGUGGCUUAACCAUAGUACGCUUUGGAAACUGUUUAACUUGAGUGCAGAAGGGGAGAGUGGAAUUCCAUGUGUAGCGGUGAAAUGCGUAGAUAUAUGGAGGAACACCGGUGGCGAAAGCGGCUCUCUGGUCUGUAACUGACGCUGAGGCUCGAAAGCGUGGGGAGCGAACAGGAUUAGAUACCCUGGUAGUNCACGCCGUAAACGAUGAGUGCUAGGUGUUAGGCCCUUUCCGGGGCUUAGUGCCGCAGCUAACGCAUUAAGCACUCCGCCUGGGGAGUACGACCGCAAGGUUGAAACUCAAAGGAAUUGACGGGGGCCCGCACAAGCGGUGGAGCAUGUGGUUUAAUUCGAAGCAACGCGAAGAACCUUACCAGGUCUUGACAUCCCGAUGCCCGCUCUAGAGAUAGAGUUUUACUUCGGUACAUCGGUGACAGGUGGUGCAUGGUUGUCGUCAGCUCGUGUCGUGAGAUGUUGGGUUAAGUCCCGCAACGAGCGCAACCCUUAUUGUUAGUUGCCAUCAUUCAGUUGGGCACUCUAGCGAGACUGCCGGUAAUAAACCGGAGGAAGGUGGGGAUGACGUCAAAUCAUCAUGCCCCUUAUGACCUGGGCUACACACGUGCUACAAUGGCUGGUACAACGAGUCGCAAGUCGGUGACGGCAAGCUAAUCUCUUAAAGCCAGUCUCAGUUCGGAUUGUAGGCCGCAACUCGCCUACAUGAAGUCGGAAUCGCUAGUAAUCGCGGAUCAGCACGCCGCGGUGAAUACGUUCCCGGGCCUUGUACACACCGCCCGUCACACCACGAGAGUUUGUAACACCCGAAGUC
rnacentral:rRNA from 1 species